rnacentral:rRNA from 1 species
GACGAACGCUGGCGGCGUGCUUAACACAUGCAAGUCGAACGGUGAACGAGGGAGCUUGCUCCCUCCGGAUCAGUGGCGAACGGGUGAGUAACACGUGAGCAAUCUGCCCCGAACUCUGGGAUAAGCGCUGGAAACGGCGUCUAAUACCGGAUACGACGCGCGAAGGCAUCUUCUGCGCGUGGAAAGAAUUUCGGUUCGGGAUGAGCUCGCGGCCUAUCAGCGAGUUGGUGAGGUAACGGCUCACCAAGGCGACGACGGGUAGCCGGCCUGAGAGGGUGAGCGGCCACACUGGGACUAAGACACGGCCCAGACUCCUACGGGAGGCAGCAGUGGGGAAUAUUGCACAAUGGGCGCAAGCCUGAUGCAGCAACGCCGCGUGAGGGACGACGGCCUUCGGGUUGUAAACCUCUUUUAGCAGGGAAGAAGCGAAAGUGACGGUACCUGCAGAAAAAGCACCGGCUAACUACGUGCCAGCCGCCGCCGUAACAC